CUGAAAAUAACACUAAUCACCUUAACCUUUCUGUCUGAGGUCCUGCAAAAGGAAUCUGAACCAAAGAUUCCCCAAGAAGAGAUGGUGUGCCUAAUUACAUUCAUGGAGUGGCCAUUCAACACUGCCUGUCGAAAGAUGGCAAUGAAACUGCAGCCCCACACGCCUUCCCCGCAUGCGCCAGUUUGAGUAGAUGCUCCCCCUCCCAGCUGCUACUGAGAGCGGCCGACACAGAAUUUACUGGCCCUUCAACCUCCUGUCCUCCUUUUCAUCAGAACGAUAGAGGGAAAGGCCUUCCAUUGCCCGAUGGUUUGCUGUGACUCCCAGCAUGGUCUCGAAAGCAUGAAGGAGAUUCCAGGAGACAGACAGUUUCUCCACGAGAACUGGAAAGGGCCGUCGAAGUCCUUAACUCAUCAGCGGGACCGGUAUCUGCUCUUUGUGCAAUGACAAACAGAGUGUCGCUUGUGUGCUGUUGGGUUUGGACAGGUGUUCUCCAUCUCCUUGAUCAAGCUGGGAGGUUUAUAAAGAGCAUGCUGCCAGCACUUCGAUGCCUGAGUGUUUUGUCUCUGUGGUUCAGUUUUAGACCCAGUUCAAGCUCCUUGAAGAACCUACCUGACCUCACCUCCAUUGCCAAGAUUUCCAAUCAGGCUUUGCUGGCAGCCGUUGGACUCCAUAACCUCAGCUUCUCCAAGCGAAACCUGUCCACCCUCCAGCGAGCGGCACCACUGGACCAAAUCAGUAAGGAAACAACAAAUCAAAGUUCUGAUCUGUGGAAAGGAUCAGUUAUCAAAGUGACCAGACUUAUCAAACUUACCAGACCCGGAAUAACUCCCCUCUGGCGAACCAGCACCUGCAACAAACUGUAAGAUACCUCACACCGCAAAAUCCCCAUUGUUACCCUUCCAUGCAGCCGAGAGGUUCCAGUCCCAGAUCCCACCUCCAUCGGACCUGUGAACAAAUAAACACGUUUAACUUCAUUUUCUCUCUGAGUGUUUUCUGCAUGUGGGUCAAAUUGGCAACCAAAAUGAUAGAGCACUCAGGCCAAGCCGACCCAGCAGAAACACUGAAAAGACCUCUAACUGAACAUAGUCACCAAAUUUAGGCUCAAGGUUCAUCUCUCCGAUCUCUUCAUGAAUAACAAAGACAAACAAAUCAACAUCCUCUCUCUUACAGCAUGUUCUCAGUACCAAGGACUCCCCUUCGCCUGGUGGCGCUAUUGGACCUCCACCGACUCAACAACUACAUUCCGGACGUGACGUAACUUCCCCAAACUCGGAGAAAUAUUCUGGGGAGAUCAGAAACUGUGGAGGUUUCUUACUACUGUGUAAGCUGGUUUUCAACCGAUCACCUCAAUCAUUCCCUCAUGAUGACGUCAAGAUUUCUUACAUAUUAGGAUUAUUAACAGGAAGAGCUCUUCGAUGGGAUGAAUCCAGGUUUACAGACAGUAAUCAGUUUGGAUGCACCUAUGAAGAAUUUAUUGAAGAGUUCAAACAAACAUUCGCUCAGGAGACAGAUCAGACACAUAUUGCGCGCCGUUUGUGGGCGCUACAACAACAAAACAAACCUCUAACUGAGUUUUCAGUAGAUUUCUGCACAUUAGCAGCAGCUUUAGGGUGGGAUCAGCAGGCCGCAUUUUUUCAAUCACUGGAUGAGGCUGUUAAAGACGAGUUAGCUCUGAUGGUUGAACCUAAGAAAUUAAAUGACUUUAUUGCCUUCGCUAUAUUUAUCGAUGCACGCAUGAGAAAAAGGAGAAGGUCCCGCUCUGGGCACUCAGUGAAUAAGUUACCAUUACUCUCUGGAUCUAGAUCCACUUACACAGCGCCCCAGCCGUUCAGUUUGCCUGAACCAGAACCCAUGCAAUUAGGUAGGACCAGACUUACACCUGAUGAGCGACAGCAUCAAAAAUAAGCAAAUCAAUGUUUUUAUUGUGAAUCACCAGAUCAUUUUGUCUUUUCCUGCCCUGUUAGGCCAAAAGGGGGGGUUCGCCGACUGUAAAGGGGGAGCCGGCGGACCAGCAUUGUAACUCUAAGACCCCUAGAUUCACCUUGCCUGCUACUUUGUUGUAUAACAACGAACUUAUCAGUUUUUUGGCCCUGAUUGAUUCUGGUAGCGACCAGAAUUUAAUUGAUCAAGCCCUGGUCAGCAAAUACCAGAUUGAGACCGAACCGCUUCCUGUAUCACGUCAAGUCCAGGCUUUGGAUGGUAGUUCCCUUCACUCCAUAACUCACCAGACCAAGCCACUCGAACUAAUCAUAUCAGUCGGCUGUCUCACCUAACGUCUCUGUUUCGGAGAGCAAGGAGGAGGAACCUUCAGAUCUCACUCAAGUCCCCACUGAGUAUCAUGACCUGAGGAUGGUGUUCAAUGACAUCCUUAUCUACUCUAAGGACAUCACUGAACAUCGCCACCAUGUCUGCUUAGUUCUACGUCUUUUGGAGAACCGACUAUUCAUUAAAGCGGAGAAAUACUAACUAAUGCAGAGCGAAACUAUGAUGUGGGGGACAGAGAGCUGCUAGCCAUCAAACUAGCGCUGGAGGAGUGGCGACAUUGGCUGGAGGGUGCUGGGCAUCCUAUUCUGGCCUGUGACCAGUGACCAGGCUUCCCAAACUUACCAGACCCAGAAUAACUCCCCUCCUGCAAACUAGCACCUGCAACAAACUCCGAGAGGUUCCAGUCCCUGGUCCCACCUCCAUCAGACCUGUGAACAAAUAAACACGUUAAACUUCA